rnacentral:rRNA from 1 species
GACGAAGGGGGCUAGCUUUGUUCGGAAUUACUGGGCGUAAAGCGCGUGUAGGCGGGCCGUUAAGUCGGGGGUGAAAGCCCAGAGCUCAACUCUGGAACUGCCUUCGAUACUGGCGGCCUGGAGCAUGAUAGAGGCGAGUGGAAUUGCGAGUGUAGAGGUGAAAUUCGUAGAUAUUCGCAGGAACACCAGUGGCGAAGGCGACUCGCUGGAUCAUUGCUGACGCUGAGACGCGAAAGCGUGGGGAGCAAACAGG